rnacentral:rRNA from 1 species
UUUGGAGGGCAAGUCUGGUGCCAGCAGCCGCGGUAAUUCCAGCUCCAAUAGCGUAUAUUAAAGUUGUUGCAGUCAAAAAGCUCGUAGUUGAAUUUCGGGGUCAGUUGGCUGGUCGUGCCACCGGUACGUACUGGUCUCACUGAUUCCUCCUUCCUGAAGAACCGUAAUGCCAUUAAUUUGGUGUUGCGGGGAAACAGGACUGUUACUUUGAAAAAAUUAGAGUGUUUAAAGCAAGCUAACGCUUGAAUACAUUAGCAUGGAAUAAUGAAAUAGGACGAUCGAUCCUAUUUUGUUGGUUUCUAGGAUUGACGUAAUGAUUAAUAGGGAUAGUUGGGGGCAUUAGUAUUCAAUUGUCAGAGGUGAAAUUCUUGGAUUUAUUGAAGACUAACUACUGCGAAAGCAUUUGCCAAGGAUGUUUUCAUUAAUCAAGAACGAAAGUUAGGGGAUCGAAGACGAUCAGAUACCGUCGUAGUCUUAACCAUAAAUUAUGCCGACUAGGGAUCGGAUGAUGUUAAUUUUAUAAUGACUCAUUCGGCGCCUUACGGGAAAC